GACGAAGGGGGCUAGCGUUGUUCGGAAUUACUGGGCGUAAAGCGCGUGUAGGCGGUUGCCCAAGUCGGGUGUGAAAGCCUUGAGCUCAACUCAAGAAAUGCACUCGGUACUGGGUGACUAGAGGACCGGAGAGGAUAGUGGAAUUCCCAGUGUAGUGGUGAAAUACGUAGAGAUUGGGAAGAACACCAGUGGCGAAGGCGGCUCACUGGCCCGAUACUGACGCUGAGGCACGAAAGCGUGGGGAGCAAACAGG
rnacentral:rRNA from 1 species